CCUCCGUUCUUCCGCAGUUGGUAAUAUUUCACAAUGGUUGAAACCCUGAUGCAGCGACGCCGCGUGAGUGAAGAAGUAUUUCGGUAUGUAAAGCUCUAUCAGCAGGGAAGAAGAAAGACGGUACCUGACUAAGAAGCCCCGGCUAACUACGUGCCAGCAGCCGCGGUAAUACGUAGGGGGCAAGCGUUAUCCGGAUUUACUGGGUGUAAAGGGAGCGUAGACGGCUGUGCAAGUCUGAAGUGAAAGCCCAGGGCUCAACCCUGGGACUGCUUUGGAAACUGUGGAGCUAGAGUGCUGGAGAGGUAAGUGGAAUUCCUAGUGGAGCGGUGAAAUGCGUAGAUAUUAGGAGGAACACCAGUGGCGAAGGCGGCUUACUGGACAGUAACUGACGUUGAGGCUCGAAAGCGUGGGGAGCAAACAGGUUUAGAUACCCCAGUAGUC
rnacentral:rRNA from 1 species